GUAUAAACAAUGUGAGAAAAGAAAAAGGCAUAGCAGUAGAAGUGAAACGCAGUGGAAGAGUGAUGAAGACGCAUAAAGGUGACAUGUGGCUGGAAAAGUAGCGUGAAAAUGCAGGUGGGACAGAAAAGAAACGCGAAAAUGCACGACAAAGAAGAAGUUCAUAAUUGCAUUUCACAUAAGUGAUUUUUCUGCGCAAUUUCUCCAAAUACGAUUAAACGCGAUUCUCACACACCAACAAGUCACUCGGAUUUCUCACGUUUUCGACUCUGAUUUGAAUUCAGUUUCGGCUCAGUUUUCGUUUUGAUUCAGUUUUGAAUUUUGAUUGGUGUUCGAAUAGUUCAUGUUUGAAUUCAGUUCUGGUUUUUGGUUUAAGUUUCUUGGGCUUAUACGGUUUAUGUUCGAUUUUAUGGUUUGUGCUACAAUUUGAUUAGGAUUCAAUUUCGAUGCAGAAUUUGGUUUGAAUUACAAUUAAAGCAAGCAUACACAUCAAAGAGCGAAAUCGGAUGAAAGAUUACCGCCUAAAGUGAAGAAAAUGCAAAUUUUGUUAUUGCUCGCAAGGUGAUGAAUUAUGGCUGAAAAGGUGAAUGAAGAUGAUGGUGGAUUGAGGUUAAAUAAUGAAGAUGAAUGAGAUUGUUGAUGGAAUUGUGAAGCUUGGUUGAAGAUGUUUGAAGAUCCAUGAUGAUGGAUUGAGGUUUGGUGACGAAUUUAAAGAAUGUUGAAAUUUGGUUAGGGUGAUUAUGGAAGAAUUUUGGGGAUUUUUUAAAUUGUGAUUUGUUCAAGGUUGAAGGUUAGUUGAAGAAUGGUGAAGAAUGUUGUGAUUUUUGGUAGAAAUUGAGAUUAUGGAAGAUGAUGAUUGAUGAAAGUUUUGGGAUUUUUUUUUGGUGAAUAGUGAUUAAUCCCUCGUGGUGGUGAUGAGUGAUGUUUAAGUAAUGAUGAAAAUGGAGGGAAAGUUAGUUAGGUUUGAUUGAAUUAGAAUCCUAGGAUAGUGAUCCUUGUGUUGAGUCUAAGAGUGGUUAGGAUUGAAUUUCCAAAUUGUGUUAGUUUUGAGUGAUUAAGGUAGUUAUGGAUAGUUAAGAUAGUUAGAAAUGAAAUGUAAAUUUUGUGUUUGUUUGAAAUGAAAUGAAAUUGAAUUUCAGUUGAUUUA